AUGUUAACCAAUCAAACCCAAUUCAAGAAAUCUCUCUCAUUCAUUACAUCAAACACCUCAUCUACAUUACUAAGAAACAAAACAUUGAAUUCAGCCUUAAUUUCUCUUCACAGGAUCAAUAACAUUGCACACCAAAAGGAUAUUUUUGUUAGAACUGAAGGGCUUCAUGGACAUUUCACUUUUGAAAAAAAAAUGUUUCAAAUGCCUUAA